rnacentral:rRNA from 1 species
UACGAAGGGGACUAGCGUUGUUCGGAAUCACUGGGCGUAAAGCGCACGUAGGCGGAUUUGUAAGUCAGGGGUGAAAUCCCGGGGCUCAACCUCGGAACUGCCUUUGAUACUGCGAAUCUCGAGUCCGAGAGAGGUGGGUGGAAUUCCUAGUGUAGAGGUGAAAUUCGUAGAUAUUAGGAAGAACACCGGUGGCGAAGGCGGCCCACUGGCUCGGUACUGACGCUGAGGUGCGAAAGCGUGGGGAGCAAACAGG